GGUGGCUCAGUGGGUAGAAUAAAGGCCUUGCAAGCCUGAGGUCCAGAGUUCAAUCCCCUGCACCA
rnacentral:tRNA from 1 species